rfam:Callithrix jacchus chromosome 9, whole genome shotgun sequence
GCUGGGUGCGGUGGCUCACACCUGUAAUCCCAGCACUUUGGGAGGCUGAGAUGGGUGGAUCGCCAGAGGUCAGGAGUUUGAGACCAGCUUGACCAACAUGGUGAAACCCCAUCUCUA